rnacentral:rRNA from 1 species
CCUACGGGGGGCAGCAGUGAGGAAUAUUGGUCAAUGGGCGGAAGCCUGAACCAGCCAAGUAGCGUGCGGGAUGAAGGCCCUACGGGUCGUAAACCGCUUUUGCACGGGGAUAACACCCUCCACUUGUGGAGGUCUGCAGGUACCGUGCGAAUAAGGGCCGGCUAAUUCCGUGCCAGCAGCCGCGGUAAUACGGAAGGCCCGAGCGUUAUCCGGAUUCAUUGGGCUUAAAGGGUGCGUAGGCGGUCGGAUAAGUUAGAGGUGAAAUCCCGAGGCUCAACUUCGGAAUUGCCUCUGAUACUGUUCGGCUAGAGAGUAGUUGCGGUAGGCGGAAUGUAUGGUGUAGCGGUGAAAUGCUUAGAGAUCAUACAGAACACCGAUUGCGAAGGCAGCUUACCAAGCUACUUCUGACGUUGAGGCACGAAAGCGUGGGGAGCAAACAGGAUUAGAUACCCGAGUAGUC